rnacentral:rRNA from 1 species
UUCGAAGGGGGCGAGCGUUGUUCGGAUUUACUGGGCGUAAAGGGCGCGCAGGCGGCGCAUUUUGUCAGGCGUGAAAGCCCCGGGCUUAACCUGGGAACUGCGUUUGAUACGGAUGGGCUAGAGUUCGGGAGAGGAGAGUGGAAUUCCCAGUGUAGAGGUGAAAUUCGUAGAUAUUGGGAAGAACACCGGUGGCGAAGGCGGCUCUCUGGACCGGUACUGACGCUGAGGAGCGAAAGCGUGGGGAGCGAACAGG